GUAGUAUUCCCCCCAUCCGAAAAUUCUUGUCUUACAUUUGUUUAGAUACGGAUGUAUCUAACACUAAAAUGUAACUAGAUACAUCCGUAUUUAGACAAAUUUAAGACAAGAAUUUUGGGACGGAGGGAGUACAAA
rfam:Triticum aestivum genome assembly, contig: Triticum_aestivum_CS42_TGACv1_scaffold_514976_6BS